rnacentral:rRNA from 1 species
GUCCAGACUCCUACGGGAGGCAGCAGUGGGGAAUAUUGCACAAUGGGGGAAACCCUGAUGCAGCGACGCCGCGUGAGUGAAGAAGUAUUUCGGUAUGUAAAGCUCUAUCAGCAGGGAAGAAAAUGACGGUACCUGACUAAGAAGCCCCGGCUAACUACGUGCCAGCAGCCGCGGUAAUACGUAGGGGGCAAGCGUUAUCCGGAUUUACUGGGUGUAAAGGGAGCGUAGACGGCAUGGCAAGUCAGAUGUGAAAGCCCGGGGCUCAACCCCGGGACUGCAUUUGAAACUGUCAGGCUGGAGUGCAGGAGAGGUAAGUGGAAUUCCUAGUGUAGCGGUGAAAUGCGUAGAUAUUAGGAGGAACACCAGUGGCGAAGGCGGCUUACUGGACUGUAACUGACGUUGAGGCUCGAAAGCGUGGGGAGCAAACAGGAUUAGAUACCCGAGUAA